rnacentral:tRNA from 1 species
GGUUGUAGCUCAGUGGCAGAGCACUUGCCUAGCAUGUGUGAGGCACUGGGUUCGCUUCUCAGCACCA